GCUACCUAUAUAAGCAGCACUUAUACUAAAAUUGGGACGAUACUGAGAUCAGCACGGCCCCCGAAUAAGGAUGGCAUGCAACUUCUGAAGCACACCAUAUUUAA